rnacentral:misc_RNA from 1 species
UAAUAAGAGUGUUUUAUGGCACUUUUCAAACAAAUCCAUAUCCACCUUGUGUGCAAUGUUUUUUUUUUUUAAAUAAACACUUUAUUUUUUAAUUGCCAAUUUAUCUGAAGAUCAGUAUUACUAUGAAUUAACUUAAUUCAAAAUA